AUUGAACGCUGGCGGCAUGCCUUACACAUGCAAGUCGAACGGUAACGCGGGGCAACCUGGCGACGAGUGGCGAACGGGUGAGUAAUAUAUCGGAACGUGCCCAGUAGUGGGGGAUAGCCCGGCGAAAGCCGGAUUAAUACCGCAUACGACCUACGGGUGAAAGGGGGGAUCGCAAGACCUCUCGCUAUUGGAGCGGCCGAUGUCAGAUUAGCUAGUUGGUGGGGUAAAGGCCCACCAAGGCGACGAUCUGUAGCUGGUCUGAGAGGCGACCAGCCACACUGGAACUGAGACACGGUCCAGACUCCUACGGGAGGCAGCAGUGGGGAAUUUUUGGGACAAUGGGGCGCCAAGCCUGAUCCAGCAAUG
rnacentral:rRNA from 1 species